rnacentral:piRNA from 1 species
UGCCUUUGUAGAAGUGCUACCUGGAUGGGUC